rnacentral:tRNA from 2 species
GUUUUUAUAGCUUAAAUAAAGCGAGAGAUUUUUAAUCUUUAGAUGCAGUAGUUGCUGGAAGCG